rnacentral:rRNA from 1 species
UACGUAGGGGGCAAGCGUUGUCCGGAUUCAUUGGGCGUAAAGAGCGUGUAGGCGGCCAGGUAGGUCGGUUGUGAAAACUGGAGGCUCAACCUUCAGAGGUCGACCGAAACCAUCUGGCUAGAGUCCGGGAGAGGAGAGUGGAAUUCCUGGUGUAGCGGUGAAAUGCGUAGAGAUCGGAAGGAACACCCAAGGCGAAAGCACUCUGCUGGGCCGACACUGACACUGAGAGACGAAAGCUAGGGGAGCAAAUGGG